rnacentral:rRNA from 1 species
AGAAUCAACGCUGGCGGCGUGCCUAACACAUGCAAGUCGAACGAGAAAGUGGAGCAAUCCAUGAGUACAGUGGCGUACGGGUGAGUAACACGUGACUAACCUACCCUCGAGUGGGGAAUAACCUCGGGAAACCGGGCUAAUACCGCAUAACAUCCACGGAUCAAAUGCGUAAGCAGCUUGAGGAGGGGUCGCGGCUGAUUAGCUAGUUGGCGGGGUAAUGGCCCACCAAGGCAGUGAUCUGUA